rnacentral:RNase_P_RNA from 1 species
GAGAACGCAAACGCAGACGACCUCGCAAACGAGGCAAUAGACACCCGGGCCCGCUGAAAAAAAGUUGCGAGCGAAGCGCGGCAAUCUCGUAUAUUAUCCCAAGCCUGCCCCCGCCUGCCCCCACAUCUUGUAAACCGGGGACGAAAAAUGCUAUCAUAUGUAAGUACGCCGGAGCGCGACGGCAGCCGCCCAGCGCCACUUUUCAUUACGAAGGCAUGUUGGUUAUUGACUUGCUUCGUGCAGAAAAGUGGCGCUGGGCAAGGGUGAAACGGCGGGGUAAGAGCCCGCCAGAGCGCCGGGCAACCGGCGCUGCUCGGCAACCCCCUCUUGGUGCAAGGCCAAAUAGGCUCUGUUCAAGGACGGCCCGUCCUUUUUCCGGCAACGGAAAGGCAGAGCGGGUUGGCUGCUUAAAGACGGCGGCAACGCCGCUCUUAGAUGAAUGGCUGCCUACUACAGAAUCCGGCUUAUGACGGACUCCGGC